rnacentral:lncRNA from 1 species
UUUAUAACAAGAGAAUUGUAACAAAAUUUUAUUAUACCACAUAACAAAAAUAUUAUUACAUUAUAAUUCAUUACAUUCAACAAUAAAUAUUAUAACAUAAAUAAAUUGAAUAAAAUUACAUUUGAAAGAAAUAAAAAUAUAAUUAAUCAUUAUUAUCAUUCUGCUUGGGGGUUAUAAACCACUUUUGGGCAACUCCCCACCAUAUAAUUAUCACCUUCUCC